rnacentral:rRNA from 1 species
UACGAAGGGGGCUAGCGUUGCUCGGAAUCACUGGGCGUAAAGCGCACGUAGGCGGGUUGCUAAGUCGGGGGUGAAAUCCUGGAGCUCAACUCCAGAACUGCCUUCGAUACUGAGGAUCUCGAGUCCGGGAGAGGUGAGUGGAACUGCGAGUGUUAGAGGUGAAAUUCGUAGAUAUUCGCAAGACACCAGUGGCGAAGGCG